GUGAUCACUACAACAGUGUCUCCAGAAUCAGCAACUGGGUCCUCUCUGGCUCCUCCAAACCUAAUAUCUGGUUCAGCAGUGGUCACGAGCAAGCUGCUGUUCAACUCCUCAUCUCCAGUCCCCAGUGAAUCUCUGGUCCUCAGUGCCAUCAGCACUCUCCUGAAAUCCAGACAGUCACAGCUCAAUGAAUCAGUGAAGGUGGCGAAUGUCACCUAUCA